GAUGAACGCUGGCGGCGUGCUUAACACAUGCCAGUCGAACGGAAAGGCCGAAGCUUGCUUCGGUACUCGAGUGGCGAACGGGUGAGUAACACGUGGGUGAUCUGCCCUGUACUUCGGGAUAAGCUUGGGAAACUGGGUCUAAUACCGGAUAUGACGAUCUCUUGGAUGGGGUUGUGGAAAGCUUUUGCGGUAUGGGAUGAGCUCGCGGCCUAUCAGCUUGUUGGUGGGGUAAUGGCCUACCAAGGCGUCGACGGGUAGCCGGCCUGAGAGGGUGUACGGCCACAUUGGGACUGAGAUACGGGCCAGACUCCGACGGGAGGCAGCAGUGGGGAAUAUUGCACAAUGGGCGCAAGCCUGAUGCAGCGACGCCGCGUGGGGGAUGACGGCCUUCGGGUUGUAAACUCCUUUCGCAAUCGACGAAGCCUUUUGGUGACGGUAGGUUGAGAAGAAGCACCGGCUAACUACGUG
rnacentral:rRNA from 1 species